ACGCUCGACACCUACGGGAGCAGCAGUGGGGAAUAUUGCACAAUGGGGGAAACCCUGAUGCAGCGACGCCGCGUGGAGGAAGAAGGUCUUCGGAUUGUAAACUCCUGUUGUUGGGGAAAAAGAGGAUGGUACCCAACAAGGAAGUGACGGCUAACUACGUGCCCGCAGCCGCGGUAAUCUGAGCGGGCUGGCAAGGC
rnacentral:rRNA from 1 species